GUUUUCUAUCAAUUUCAAUAUGAACAUACAUUUAGUAUGUUAUGAACAUUUAUUUAAGUAAGGAGCCUGUAAUUCAGUGGUUGUCGUUUGUUUAUGUGUUACAUAUUUGUUUUUCGUUCAUUUUUUGUACAUAAAUAAGGCUGCUAGUUUUCUCGUUUGCAUUGUUUUACAUUGUCAUUUCGGGCCUUUUGAAGCUGAGUAUGCGGUAGGGCUUUGCUCUUUGUUGAAGGCCGUACGGUGACCUAUAGUUGUUAAUAUCUGUGUCAUUUUGGUCUCUUGUGGAGAGUUGUCUUAUCAUGGCAAUCAUACCACAUCUUCCUUUUUUUUAUGUAAUCAAUGAAUUUUGUAAAAGAUUUAAUGACUGGAGAAUUUCAGAAAAAGUAUCCAAAGUUAACAUGAAUAAUUUUAGCGCUUAUCUGUAUAUUAUGAACAUUCAUUACUAUAUAAAUAAAGCUUAUUUACUUUCAAUUCUAAGUUUACUAAUCGAUCCAUGGUGAUCAUUGAUAUAGUAUACAGACCCUCUCUAUUUAAUAAACUCUGUGACCGCCGUGGAUAGUAAAAUUGAAAAUGAUAGCAGAUAAAAUUCUGAAAAUACACUUUAUUCGUAGUAUAUGUAUGUUCAAAGUAUACAGAAAAACGCAAACCGGA
rnacentral:lncRNA from 1 species